CUCACCAUAGCUCAGUUGGAAGAGCGUGAGACUGUAAUUGGAUAAUCUCAAGGUCACUAGUUCGAACCUGGUUGGUGAGA
rnacentral:tRNA from 1 species